GACGAACGCUGGCGGCGUGCUUAACACAUGCAAGUCGAACGGAAAAGCCCUGCUUUUGUGGGGUGCUCGAGUGGCGAACGGGUGAGUAACACGUGAGUAACCUGCCCUUGACUUUGGGAUAACUUCAGGAAACUGGGGCUAAUACCGGAUAGGAGCUCCUGCUGCAUGGUGGGGGUUGGAAAGUUUCGGCGGUUGGGGAUGGACUCGCGGCUUAUCAGCUUGUUGGUGGGGUAGUGGCUUACCAAGGCUUUGACGGGUAGCCGGCCUGAGAGGGUGACCGGCCCCAUUGGGACUGGGAUACGGCCCAGACUCCUACGGGAGGCAGCAGUGGGGAAGAUUGCACAAUGGGCGGAAGCCUGAUGCAGCAACGCCGCGUGCGGGAUGACGGCCUUCGGGUUGUAAACCGCUUUCGCCUGUGACGAAGCGUGAGUGACGGUAAUGGGUAAAGAAGCACCGGCUAACUACGUG
rnacentral:rRNA from 1 species